rnacentral:tRNA from 9 species
GCCGCCAUGGUGAAAUCGGUAGAC